rnacentral:rRNA from 1 species
UACGAAGGGGGCUAGCGUUGUUCGGAGUUACUGGGCGUAAAGGGCGCGUAGGCGGCGCACCAAGUCAGGCGUGAAAGCCCUGGGCUCAACCCGGGAAUUGCGCUUGAGACUGGUGUGCUCGAGUACGGGAGAGGAUGGUGGAAUUCCCAGUGUAGAGGUGAAAUUCGUAGAUAUUGGGAAGAACACCGGUGGCGAAGGCGGCUCACUGGCUCAUUACUGACGCUCAGGCGCGAUAGCGUGGGGAUCAAACAGG